rnacentral:rRNA from 1 species
UGGGGUAUAUUGCACAAUGGGGGAAACCCUGAUGCAGCGACGCCGCGUGAACGAAGAAGGUAUUCGUAUCGUAAAGUUCUGUCCUAUGGGAAGAUAAUGACAGUACCAUAGAAGAAAGCUCCGGCUAAAUACGUGCCAGCAGCCGCGGUAAUACGUAUGGAGCGAGCGUUGUCCGGAAUUAUUGGGCGUAAAGGGUACGCAGGCGGUUUAAUAAGUCGAAUGUUAAAGAUCGGGGCUCAACCCCGCAAAGCAUUGGAAACUGAUAAACUUGAGUAGUGGAGAGGAAAGUGGAAUUCCUAGUGUAGUGGUGAAAUACGUAGAUAUUAGGAGGAAUACCAGUAGCGAAGGCGACUUUCUGGACACAAACUGACGCUGAGGUACGAAAGCGUGGGGAGCAAACAGG